GAAGGGUGCCUCCACCACAUUUAUCUCCUUUUGUGGACAAUGAUGAAGUGGGUUAUACUCCUGAGUUUGAAGAGAAGAUCCUUAAGAGACUGCGAGCUGCUUCUAAAGACAAGGUGUUGCCCUUGCCUGGUUUAGGUGAUGAAGAUCAGGAUAAUUCGAUGGUAGAUGCGAGAUCAGAGUAUAAUGAAGUUGCUGAAAAGAAGAGGAAGUUGGACAUGCUAGAGAAACAAUACCACGAAGAGCUGAAGAUGGAAAUUGAGGGAGAGACUUUCUCUAAUUGGCAACAUCCAUGAACCUAAAUGUACAAGUAAUCUCCUGUUGAUUAAUUGGUGAGAACUAGCAAGAAAGCAAAAUUGCAUAUAGUGUUUAACAGUCAUUCUCCAGUUGACAGCAGCAGCAGCCUAAGAAAGAGUAUGUGUUAGCAGUUUGGUUAGCCUAGUAGAUAUAAAAAUUAAGGGAUUGCUAUAGACAGUUUAAGUUCAAAUGGAUUGCUAGAAAAGGAGUGCCGCUCUUCUUCCACCUCCUUCUAUUCUUCCUCUCUUACGUUGCUACAGCUCCGAGCGCUCCCUCUACCGCUGCCUCCUCUCCCCCUUCUCUCCGGCGGCUCUGCCGGCUAGAGAGGAAGGGGAGGGGAGGUCUGCCAUGGUCCUCUUGGUUUUAUGUAUAUUAUGGUAGUUGCCUUAGAGGCUUGUCUCUUUGGAUCUGCGCCGCCGGAUUUGAGGCUCCGGUGGUUGACUCGAAGAAGCUUGUUUGCCAUAGUUAUCAACGUCGAGAUCUCCAGCAAUGGUAACUCUGGUUUCAUUUCUUCCCCUGAUCCCCUCCUAAAUAACCGCCUCCUUUCAGAUUUGGGUGUUCCUAUGUUGUUCUUCUUCUUGAUAAAUAGCACCGGGUCUGUGAAGCCUCCGUUAUCCUUCAAGAUCCCUGUGUUUCUGUGUCACUUGAUCUUCUAGAACAGUAAAAAAAAUUCCAUUUUCUUUGGAGAUCUUCUUUAUUUCGCUCAGAUUUCCCCACCUUUGAGUCCAUGCUGGUUGGGAGGGGGGGCAUGGUUCUCUGUCACAUCUGCUGUCCUCUCUUCCUCUCUGUUUUGGUGAUGCUAUCUACUUUGAUUUCUUGCACUGGAGCAGGACCUGCCUUCGCCUUCGGAUCCGUUCUUUUGAUGGUCGAUGUCCCUCUCAACCUCCAGAUCGGAGGCGCGCUUGUCGGUUCAGGGAUGAGAUAUCAUUGGUGCGGGGACAGAGGACUUGCUAUGAACUCUGCUUGGUGGCUGCUGCCCAUUUCAGGGGCUAUGGUGCUCUUCUUGUGGCUGUUGAUGCAGGUGCUCAUCCAAGAUGUUUGGCGUCGUCAGCUCCUUCUUCCUCCGGAGUACACGGAGGCAUUUUGUUCCGGCAGUCUCCUCGCUAGCUGGUGGCGGAUGGUAGUUUGCCCGUCGAGGAUGGCGUGUGACUCAGUCGGCGGCUAGGUCGAUGCUGGGCACGUGUCAACCCGAAGUGUUUCUCUAGACACGUGGUCUUUGUUUGGCCGAAUGUUAGACGCGUGUCCUUGGGCAUGGUUGUAAUUUUUCCAUUUCUUUGUGUCCUACAAAUGUAUCGGGUUGUAAUCCGUGGGUUUUUUGGACCCACUUGCUAUUAAUACUAUGCAGGGAUCCUUUCAAAAAAAAUGUUAAUUAAUGAACUAGCGGAGACAAUCAUUACAGGAAAAAAAACUUUAUUUACACACUGAAAUGUUGGAAAUGAGCUGUAUACUACCUUACAUCGAUCAUAUAAUAACAUUUUGUGACAAACAUUUUUGUGAAAAUUUCCUUGUGCACUUUUACACAAAUAAAUUGCUAGUACCAACUACAAAUUUAAUGCAGAGAUAAAAAAUGUACGAAAAAAAACACUCUCAAAACUAACGCACCUUUGUUCUUAAAUUUAAAUGUGUUUAAACAGGGGCGGAGGCGACGACGAAGCCAUCGCCCUAUGUACGCUCGGUUGUAUCUACACCUAUCAUGGGUUAGAAGGAUUUAUAUCUUUCAAAAGAAUCUAAAAAUUUGUAUGCUGCUAGUACAUGUAAAUAUGAGAAUGCACGCAAGAAUUUAUAUAAAUUAAACUUGUAAUUUCUACUUUAUAAAAAAUAUAUGCUAUUUUUUUUUCAGAAACUCAGUAGAGAGGAGACACUCACAAUGGCAUGCACACUCACCCUGUUACCACAUGCGAGUGGAUUGGCAGAUCUUGAGGUUGAGGUGCCUUGCUGUUGUCAGUUACGUCACUUACCACUAAAAAAUAACGCUAAUGAAAUCCUGAUAAAUGCGAACACACAUGGCAAUUCUAAGAGUUGAACACGGUGGGAUUCUUCCACUGGAAACAACUUAACUAACUGAGCUAUAUAUCAAUUUUGGUAAACAUUGUUUUCAUGUAAUUUUACAUUUAUAUACAUGAUUAUCGUGCUUCCUGUGAGAAUUUCUGAAUAGCAAAAAUACAGAUAGAUAAGAUACGCUUUGCUCGUCUAGCUAGUGUGGGCAUAUCACGUCCCAUCAUAUAACUUACAAAUCUUGUAAUGAAACCAUCAUAUAACUUAACAUUUUGUGACAAACAUUUUUGCGAAAAUUUCCUUGUGAACUUACACAAAUAAAUUACUAGUACCAACUACAAAUGUUCAUGCAGAGAUAAAAAAAAAUGUACAGAAAAAAGCAUACUCUCAAUGCACCUAAUUUCUUAAAUUUAAAAAGUGUAUUUAAACAGGGGCAGGGGCGAGCCAUCGCCCAAUGUACGCUCGAUUGUAUUUACACCUAUCAUGGGUAGACGUAUUUACAUCUUUCAAAAGAAUCUAAAAAAUAGUAUGGUACUAGCAUAUGUAAACAUAAGAAUGCAUGCAAGAAUUUAUAUAAAUUAAACUUGUAAAUCCUACUUUAUAAAAAAGGAAAUUUAUGCUAUUUUGUAAAAAACACAGUAGAGAUGGGGACGCUCACAAUAAGCAUGCACGUUCUGCCCUGUGAGCACAUCCAAGUGGGUUGGUAGAUCUUGAGAUUGAGGCGCCUCGCUGUUGUGUCGUUUACCACUGGAAGAAUAAACCCAACUAAAUCUUGAAUUAAAUCCAGAUAAAUGCAAACACACAUGCCAAGUCUAAGAAUUGAGCCCAAGUAAGAUUGUUCCGCUGCAAAGAACCUAACCAACUGACCUAUAUAUCAAUUUUGGCAAACAUCAUUUUCAUGUAAUUUUUACAUUAUAUAAAUUAUUAUCGUGGUUCUUUUGAGAAUUUAUGAAUAGCAAAAAUACAAAUAGAUAUAGAUUAGCUUUACUCGUCUAGCUAGCGUGGGCAUAUCACGUCCCAUCGAUCACAGAAUGCCCGAGAGAAUCUACCGAUGACCCGAUCUGACCUAACAUGGGAAGGAUUUACAUCUUUCAAAAGAAUCUAAAAAUUUGUAUGCUACUAGUACAUGUAAAUAUAAGAACGCACGCAGGAAUUUAUAUAACUUAAACUUGUAAUUUCUACUUUAUGAAAAAAAUAUGCUAUAUUUUUAGAAACACAGUAAAGAGGAGACACUCACAGUGGCAUGCACACUCAACCUGUUACCAGAUGCGAGUGGGUUGGCAGAUCUUGAGGCUGAGGCGCCUUCGUUGUCGUCAGUACACAUUGAAGGGGCGCGUAGAGAUAAACAAAACUUUUCCUACGCGAACUCCCAAGAUCUAGCCGAGGUAGAAGGCCACGAGGAUUACCACUAGACGCGCAGUUGCGGAUUAUCGAUGCGGCGUCUUGAUGCAGUGCAGUCCCUCGAUCCGAUCCAGCCGAUCCAAUCCCGCGAUCGUCGAAGUGCUGAACGUACAGCACCUCUGCCGGUAUCCACACGUGCGAGGAGGAGCUCCGGCGGCGGACUGCUAGGUCCGGUGCGACGGUUGAACUGAAUCGGGCUAGGGUUCUCAACGCAUGAGAGUGGAAAAACCGUACCCCUUAGGCAUCCCACGCCCCUGCUUAUAUAUCGAGUGGAAGUAGGCUCCAAGCCUUGUGGCCCAUCCACCCUGCGAGUCCAACUCGCAUUGUCAGCCCAAUUCCAGUUCGGGUCCAACCCGACCAAAUACUUGCUCCCGCUCUUAAGUGUGUGACCCCACAGGCUCAUGGUGACUUGGACACGAUUGGAGUCCGACUCACAAUCGAUCAAUCGGUAGCGGCUCCUAGCAGAACGUGCCGACUCCCAAGUACCAUCGAGUCAUGACGACGUACCUUCCAAUGUGACAUACGUCUUAGUCCCUUUUGCCUCACGAUAUACCUUGUCGAACUAUAGGCGAUUAAUCGUCAUCCCUUUAAUAGUUCAACUCUCUUCUCGAUCUGUGAUAUACGAUUCAUCCGACUAACUCUUAGUCGAUCGACCCGGUUAACAGUUAACCAAGUCGCGCAUGGCCAUGCUUCCCGAAUCAUAUCACUCGAGAGGGCCCAGAGAAUAUCUCUCCAGUCGGAGGGGCAAAAUCCCAUCUUGGUUAUCCACAUCACACAGCUUGAUUCUCAGUCAACCCGAACUCUGCCUUUAUAACUGCCCUGUUACGGAACAACGUUUGACAGAACCUAAGUUGGUGAUCCACAACUCGGAUUGUGCGAUAACCUCAGGUCUAAGGAUUACAUUGAUUGAGACAUGCAAAUGACGACCUACUCGUUGCAUCUCAAUAUGGGUCAGUCCGACUCGCUAAACUCUUUAGCCGAGUCCGUGUAAACUGGAAUGACAUCACCAUGCCCAUGACAAGUGGAACCGAGUCAUCAGCCAACUUUCACAUUAGUCUAGGUUAUGUGUCCAGCACAACCUCAAUGACUAAGGACAAUUUAGUAUGAACAACAUGAAUACAUAGUUCCACAAUCAAAUCACAUAUUCAAUGAUACAUAUCAGAUGUUCAAACAAGGACAACUUAAUAAUAUUUAUGAAUACAUUGGGAAUUACAUCAUACAUGAUUGCCUCUAGGGCAUAUUCCCAACACACAUGCGCCUUCGUUGUCGUCAGUACACAUGGCAAUUCUAAGAGUUGAACACGGUGGGAUUCUUCCACUGGAAACAACUCAGCUAACUGAGCUGUAUACUCCCUCCGUCCAACAAAAAAUGUUUCAAGUUUGUUAAAAUUUAGAUGUAUCUAAUGUGUAGAUGCAUUUAAAUUUGGUCAAACUUGAGACAUACUUUGUUGGACGGAGGGAGUAUCAAUUUUGGCAAACAUUGUUUUCAUGUAAUUUCACAUUUAUAUAUAUGAUUAUCGUGGUUCCUCUGAGAAUUUCGGAAUAGCAAAAAAUACAGAUAGAUAAAGAUAAGCUUUGCUCGUCUAGCUAGCGUGGGCAUAUCACGUCCCAUCGAUCAUCAGCCAUUAAUCCUCGAGAGCACCAAAAUAAAAACAGAAUUUCCGAGAGCAUCUCCCGAUGACCCGAUCUGACCUGACCAGCCAGCCAGCCAGCCGCGUGAUUCGCCACGGCGGCAAAGCGAAUCUCCCCUGGACGCGACGUAUUUGACCUCUCGCCCCGAUCGAUCCCGAUGGCUCCGUCGUCGUAGUACAUCGCCCUCGCCCUUUCCGGCCCCUGGAUUAAUGGCGAACCGCGGGCGACACGGGCACGCGCGCUCUGCAGUGCCCGCAGCACGAACGUACUAGUACAACGUCGCCAAAGGGAGAAAUUACAAGCUACCCCCCGUUGUACUAUCAUCAGCUGCCCAGCGCGACGUACAGCGCGAAUGACACAAUAUUCGCUGGGGCACUACGGUAUUCCCCGGGGUCACUCCGACUCGACGUCGUGCCGGCCGCCCCGUUGGCCGUUGGCAGUGGAGCCGCGUCCCCUCGGGGCCGGCUGUGCGCAACAAACAAAACCCAAUCCAAUCCGCGCGCCGGGCACUUUGCCACUUCUUCCCCCUUCCCUUCCUUAUCUGCUGCGCCGGAAGAAGAGAUAUUUACGUUAGUCUCCGGAGCACCGCACGCACGUAUCUGUGGUAAGCUUCCAAGGGCCUCUGGUGCUCUGGUGAUUGAGCACCUGAGGUUGGGGCACUAGCUCUUGCCGUCAAUGGCAUCUGCACGGGAUAUGCCAAGUCGCCAGAAAUUACAAGCUGUAAAAUAUAAGUACUGUAACUAUUGAUGGGUCACACACAUAUCGUGACCAAACUUGGGCACUUUACCGUAGAGUUUGAUGUCUGUCUCUGAGCAGCUGCGGCUCUAAUUAAAGCCAACUACUACAUAUGAUUGUCUUGUGGACCAUGCACGUACCACCCAACUAUGCAAAAUGUAAUCUUAUCCCAAGAAGGGGUUAUCAAACUCAUAACCACCAUUAUGCGGCACUUGACAAAAGUGCAAUCAUGCGCUAUAUUUCCACACGCACCAUGCGCGCAGCACUCUGGCUAGUUGAGCUUACAUAUAUCACCCAGCCCAGCUGCAUGCCUUCAGUUUCAGCGACCACAUGAGAGCCCCGGGCCAUCGUGCCGUCGUCGUGCGAUAGGCUACAUUGGGGACCUUUUUCAUUCUUGCAGAGCCCACCCGCGGUGGACAAAUUAAUUUUUUUUCGAAAAGGGGGAAUACCCCCUCUACAUCAAUCGAUGCACACAGCCAUAAUAUUAUUAAGUCAAGUCUCGUAACAUCAUCCACAAGUACAUCUGAAGAGUGCUCAAAAGAAAAACAUAAAGGCUGAAAAGAUCAUCCAUUAUCCAGCCUACGCUCGGCACGCCACCCAAACUGGCUGUAGAAAGCCCGUGCUACCGUCUCCAUACGGCUGCACCCAAAAUCCAUAAAAUCCUUAGCCCCCGUCGGAAGCAGUGGGGACCAAAUACGGAGCCAGUACACCGUCCGACAUAUCACCUGCAAAAAAUUGGAAACUUUCUUUCUGUUAAAAAAAGGUCAUUCCGACAAUUUCAAAUAGACCAACAAAUCGCACAAGACCCAACAAGAAUGAGCGAUUUUAGAGAUUUCUCCAUCCCAUGGAGCCAACGAUCAAACAUAUUCGAGAUGCAAGUUGGUGGUGGUGGAUUAAAAGUCACAAAGACAACUCUCCACACCAAGCACGCCAUAGGACAAUCGAAAAAAAGAUGAUGAAUAGUUUCGUCAUGAUCACAAAAAACACACCUUUUGCAACCAUGCCAAUUUCUUGUAGCCAAGUUAUCCUCAGUAAGUACAACCCAUCGGCAAAGGAGCCAUGCAAAUAUUUUAAUCUUGAGAGGCAACCUAAGUUUCCAAAUAAUUUUAUGGCGAAACUGACAAUCAUUAUUAAUCAAGAAUUGAUAAAAAGAUUUCACGGAGUACGACCCCGAAGAAGACAACACCCAGGAAAAAGAAUCUGCUUGGUCAACAAGUUGAGCUGUAGCAAGUUUUGCACACAGCUCCUCCCAGACAAAUAAUCUCGCCCCAACAAUAUUCCUCCUAAAGACAAUAUUUGGAGGCACAAUCGUCACCUCUGCAACACAAGCGUGGUGAUUUAACGCAAUCCUAUAAAGAGAGGGAAACUGAUCCUUGAGAGGAACGUGCCCCCCAACCACCUAUCUUUCCAAAAGUUCACAGCCAAACCACAGUUGACAGUAAACGAAACAUGAGGGGGGGAAAAUGGUCUCACCCUCAACAAACCCUUCCAAAAAGGGGAGUCAGACGCUCUCGACUCGACCUGGGACAGAGAUUUUGCAUAAAGUUACUUAUUACGAAGCAACUCUAGCCAAAGUCCUUCCCCAUCCAGAAUUUUAAACAACCAUUUGCUCGGCAGACAAAUGUUUUUAAUUUAUAAAUUUUCAACACCCAGACCGCCUUGUUCACGCGGUCUGCAGAUGAUGUCCCAUUUAGUUAUGUAUUUCCGCUUAUGCUCGUCACAUUGCCAAAAAAUCUAUAAAAAUCAAGUCUCUUAGCUUGUCGUAGCCCAGGGCUUAGACACCGGGAAUGCUGGGCACCCCCUUUUAGGUUCGGCAAUGGGCGACGGGGAUCGCUCCGGCGAUCGCCGGCGAGGCCAAUGACGAGCGUAGCAAUGAACAAGCAAGUUUACCCAGGUUCGGGCCACCUGGAGGUGUAAAACCCUACGUCCUGCUUCUGAGUAUGUAUUAGCCAAUGAACAAGUGUUUAUAGGUUGCCGGGAGAGUCCCCAGGCGCUCUCUUCCUUUCUGUUAAAUGGCUACUUACUAUUUCUGGACUAAAUCUCUAGGAAUAGUAACCCAGCUAGAGUCGACGACCCCUUUGACCAGUGGCCUCGGUCCUCCUUUUAUACUCAAGGGGAUACCACAGGUGCCUUGAUCUGCAUGGGGGACGAGCUUUUGGACACGCGCUGAACGAAAACCCUAGGCAGCUUGCCUUUGCUGCGCUGGCAUGCAUGCACGGUACAAAACACUGUAGCUAGGACGAUACGCGCCCUAGAUUCACUGCGAGCUACUCACUAUAGGUUGACUAGAAAGGAAACCACUUCCCUGUCGGAGCAUUUAAUGCUCGACUUGUGCCACACUUCAAGCUCCGACCAGCUCUGCACAGAAGGAGCCCGCCGGGCGGCCACGUGACGUCGAUACCCUGCCUGCACUGGGCACCGGCCCUGACGUAAGCGCCUACGUCAGGAGGCACCCUCCCCGGCAAGUGAGCUUCCCGGGGGGGCGUCCUGAUGGGAAUCUUCACGCUGUCAUCCGGGGUAACCCCCGUAGCCCGGCUAGUCUUGCUCCAGGGCAACCCCCUUCCCAGGCUCCUGCCGGGCUGGUGGCUUCCCGGGCAGCUCGCACUGUGCUGCCCAGGGUGCCGCCCUUGCGGGGAGCAAGCGAGGCGACCCACGCGUUGAGCAACGGUGGUACCCUGGGUGCCACUGGUGCGACAGUAGCCCCCGGGCGUGGGCCGGCAACGUCUGUUCCCGGGCGAAAUCAUCCUUGGUCGGUUGCCGGGCUACGCCCUAACCGACACGUGGGUCCCAAGUUGUAUCGGGUUCCCGACCAUGUGCUGUUCCAGGGACUCCGCCGUUACGGCAGAGUGGUGGGGGGGGGGGGGGGGGCGGCGAGAUUUCCGCCCUAACCUUCCCCUUAAUUGCGGGUGGUUAAGGCCACAUUGCGCAUUCCCCUCUUAAAACGCAGUUAUCCCCAGUGCACCCGUAGGAUGCGGAUGUGACCGUUGCUCAGUGCUAGGGUGCCAUAAAACCCCAUCGCUGUGCCGGGGGGCAAUCACUUAGACCCCAGUCCUUCCACCUCAUCCAGAAUUCCUUUGCGCUCAUCGCCGGGUGCCUCAGCUUGGCUUGAAGUAACUUAUUUUGCUCUUGUCGCAGGUCCCAAUGCGCCCACCACAGGGAUGGGCUAUACGGUGAUCGACCUCGCCUCUAACGCCGAGGUCGUUGGGUUGGAGGACGAGCCAGAGGUCGCUCCCGCAUCAAGCCCCACCGCCCCAGACACGACGGUGGUGGCGCCCACCGCCGCUACCGGAGUGGGGCUCGGCGGCGCGUCCCCGGCCUCGCAGGCCGGGGGCGCGGGUCCCGCGGCUGCCCAGCAGGAGACGACUCCUGCCGGGGGCGUGGCCCCUCCACCAGACCCGCGGUCCAUGGGUGCGGGUGUGGAGGAAGACGUGGUAGGGGAGCAGCAGGCAGCUCCCCUGCAAGGGGACGAUGCUCCACACGGCCAGACCAUGGCAGCGGGGGUCUCGUCGUCGUCCACCGGUACCUCCAGCACAGACCUCGGCAUUCUUGCCGGGGCGACUUGGGACCCAAUCACCUGGGACCCAAAUAUCUACGAUCUACGCCAUCAAGGAGCAGCAACUAGCGUUCGUCACCUCGUUCAACAAGGUGAGGGAGCACCAUGAGCUUGCGAAGCUUCAGCUGGGUGGAGUGCAGUAGGACGUCGAGAGGGAGCGGCAAGAGCUCUCCCGGCUAAUGGAGGAGACCCAGCUAGCCCGUCAGGCCAGGGACGAGGCCACAACGCCAGUCGUCCCCGAGGCGGAGCUCCACCGGCAGCCGGAGGCCCAACGCGCCGAGAACCAGCAAGUAUUGGACUCACUGGCCGCGGCGCAGGAGAAGGCCAACAAGGAGCACGAGGACAUGCUAGCAACAGCUCAAGCUCGCCUCAACGAGAAGAGCGAGCUGGUCAACGGCUACUCCUCCCAACUCCAGGCAUUGCACGUGAAGCUGGAGGAGCAGGCCAAGGCCGCGGAGGACGCGGCAGCGGCGUCGGCACGGCGAGAGAAGGAGCUGCGGGAGUAGUUCCGGACCCAGGAGCGCGAACUUGAGGGGGAGCUCAAUUCCACCAAGGAAAGGAGCGCCCAUCUCGACUCCGAGCUGACCAUCGCCCAGGGCGAGCUCCUCAGGACUGGCGAGGACAACGUGAGCAAGGCCGCGGAGAUCGUGCGGCUGACGGAACGCCUCCAGAAGGCCAAGCUUGCGGUGGUGACCUCGCACAGCAACCACGACAAGUUGGCGGAGCAGCGGCGGAAGGAGACCGAGAAGCUGCUUGAAAUCGCCCAGGCCACGCGAGCUGCUGUCGAGGUUCGAGCUGCAGGCGGCGAAGGUGGAUGGCACGGACGUCAACACCCUGAUCCCAUUCUUUUCUGACAUGGUGGGGAAGCUUGGGGCGUUGGACGUGUGGAUCUCCAGGUUUUGCGAUGGGGAGCGUCGUGCGCCAGGGAGAUCGCCGAGACGAUCCUCCCCCGGGUGCACUACUACCACCCCAACUUCCCUUUCGGGGCACUGUUGGAUGCAUGGUCGGACAGUGAGGACAGUCCCUCCCACACCAAGGCAGUGGGCAAGUUCAUCGACGAACUGGUGGAGCGGAUGCAGUGGAAGCCGGAGCCCUCAGCGGAAGACCCCGGCAACCAGUCGUCGUAGUCCCCUGCUAGCCUUUGUUUUACCUUUGUUUCCUGCAAGUGGCGCUUGGCGCCGUUGAACAGUUAUGGUUUUAUUAGCCCAUGUAAUCAUUCGUUACUUUUAGAAAUUUCGCCUUUUGGUUCUACUUGGUACUUGUUCCUAAAAUUGACUUGUGGGGUGGACCUUCCUGUCCUCAUGUGUUAUGCUUUGUGUUGCUGGGACUCGCACGCUACUCACUUAACCAGACCAGGGACCCGGGACGGACCCGCAGUGCCAACCUGGGGUUAAGUAGCAGCAGCGAGCCACUCCACUUGCGGGUUAGCUACUCCCAAGCACGCGUCUAUGGGACGGACCCGCAAGCCGCAUGAGGAGCGCACUCCUGCAAGCGUCCUUCUAACACUCCAGCCGCACGCAAGACCCGACCCACACCAAUGAGCCAGCGUCGAGAUUAGAAAGUUAGGCACCUAGGAUAAUGCACUUAGUUGUCUGUUCUCUUGUCGAACGUAUCGGUUCUGCACUUGGAACGCCUGCUGGAGGGAUGCGGCAAGGGUGCGGUGACGGUGCACCCAUCGGCGCUGAGCACUGAUGGCAUGCACCACCACCGCGUCUCUGCGGCAACCAUCGCCUUGGAAAUGCCCGGAGGAGUGAUGUAGUAGGGACGCGAUGGUGGGAACACCCUCGGCGCUUGCGCGCAGAGGAAUGCACCACCACCGCUUCUCUACUGCAUCGCUCGCCAUCUUCUCAGCUUUGCCUUGAGUUGCUCCGUGGCCACCAUGCCCCUUUAUAGGCAUGGUGGAGAAUCCUGCCAUGUAACAUCCCAAUUUUUCAAAACUCUUCAUAUGCAUUGCAUAUCAUAAGCAUCAUGUCACCUUUGCAUUUGAUCACUUUCAAAACCCUAAAAAUUGCUCAGAAAACCCUUUUGCGGAAACGCCUUUAUUUGAUUUUGGGCUUUGAUCUUGCUCUUGAGUAUUUGCAUUUUAACCAUGAGGGUGUCGCACCAGUGGCACCCGGGGUACCACCGCUGCGCGACGCGUGGCCCCCUCCCCUGGGUUCUCGGGAAGGUCUCAUCCCAGGGAGCGCCGACAAGCUUCCCGGCAAGCUACCAGCCCGAAAGGGGCUAGCGGGGCUUCCGGGAAUAUUCCCGCUUAGGCACCUCCCGGGAAGCUGCUUCCCGGGAGGAGGUUCCCGGGUGCGCUGGGCCCGGGUGCUUCCCGGGCCGACUUGCGGGGACUGGGGGUUCCCGGACGCGUGCCCCCGCCUCGGGUCGUGGGGCCCACUGGACAGCGCCGCGCGGGCGCAUGACGGGCGCGGAACGCGCGGUUCCACUGGACACUUGUAGUACAUGCACUGUGGCACAUGUGGCUUCCCCUUGUGUAUAAAAGGAGGACCCAUGCCAACGGUCUAGGGGGUUUGAGGGUUGACGGGUUAGACAGUUGGGAGGUUAGUCAGUUGGUCAGUUAGUUGGUUUGGACGAAGCUCGCUCGAUAGAUGCUUACUGGCUCCAGUAGGCAGCCAACGGUGAGCGGUGAGGAGCGCCUAGCCACUGAGAGAAAGCCCGGGAGCUUGCCCGGCAACCUGGAAACCUUUGAUCCGUAAUCAAUAUCAAUUCAGACAGCAGGACGUAGGGUUUUACGCCUCCGGGUGGCCCGAACCUGGGUAAAAAACGUGCGUGCAUCUGUUCUUGGGCUAGCGCGUACCCCUAGCUCUUCGUCUCGCCGGCCCUGUAGGGCCUCAUCGCCCGUGCCGGCGAUCACCGGGUCUCCGCCCCAGACGCCCCUACCGAACCUAAAAGGGGGGCGUGGCCGCACGCCCCCGGUGUCGGAGCACCGAGCGACGACAUCUGGCGCGCCAGGUAGGGGGCGCGGGAGUGGACAGCGCCGGCAGCGGAAGUUUCCAUCGGCAUCGGCUUCACUCUUCUUCAUCGACGAGCCUUGUCACCAUGCCCCCCAAGCGGGCUGGUGAUUCACGCAUAGACCUGCGUGAGGCCCCAGCGGCGCACACGCGGUCGCACAACGUGCGACCCGAGUCGAGAGCUCAAGAGAAUCCCGAGCCCUCGAGGGUGCAGCAAACGCAGCUGCCUCCACCGCCUCCCCGACCGUCGACCGACAAUCGGCCGAGGGGGCCGGCUGCCCCCAGCGCUGGGGGCAGUCGGGCGAGCACGCAUGGCGUCGCCCGGGCCAGCCAACGGGUGGAGUCGCAACCCGAGGAUGCUCCGCGGCAGCGGCACCCGGAGCACGCCGCGUCACGGGCGACCCCUGGGGGUUCGCACCCGGAGGCGUUCGGGGCCAGGGCGGGAAGCAGCCGCUCAGGAAAUUGGUUGCCCCCCGUGCGAACCCCAGCUGAAGCCAUCAUCGCCGCACGCGUCAUGGUGCGGUACGAGCCGCAGCAGGGCACGCCGGCACACGAGACGUGGGGCGAGGAGUUGGAAGCGCUUCUCGUCCUGGCCGCCCAACAGCCGCAAGGCGAGGGCGCCCCGGUAGGCUCCGGCCACGGGCUGGACUCAGAGCGCGAAGGCGCGCCACCCGCCUCGCGACAGGGGGAGAACCCUCCCCCUCCUCAGCGGGGCCUGGUAGACGGGGGCCCGGAGGGGUCCUCGAAUUCGUCGCCCACCGUCCCGGGGGGCGAUGCGCGUGGCAUCUUGAAUGCCCGACAACAGGAGGAUCUGCGCCCGCGCUUGGAGCGCCGGCGCAGACGCGAGGUGGAGCGCCGGCACCCACUGGAGCAAGAAGAUGCUCCCCUGGGCCCAGAAGACGGCUGCACCGCGUUCGUGCGCGAGUUGCGGCAGGUGGUGUGGCCCCGCAAGUUCCGAGCGCCUGCGCUCGGUACGUACGACGGGACCGCUAACCCCAAAGAUUUUCUCCUGACCUAUACGCUGAGCAUGCAUGCCAUCGGCGCCGACGACAAAGUCAGGGCGAACUGGUUCCCGAUGGUCCUGAAGGGAUCAGUGCGAACCUGGUUGCUCAACCUGCCCGCCGGAUCCGUCGCCACCUGGGCAGACCUGCGCGAGCAGUUCGUGAGCGCGUUCCAGGGCGGCUAUAGGCGCCCGGGAACCAUGGCGGAGCUGCACACCAUCGUGCAAAAACCAGGAGAGACGUUGCGGGCCUUCGUCAACCGCUUCUCCAAUCUCUUCUAUUCUAUCCCGGAGGCGGAGGCGGCCGCCAUAAUAAACACCUUCACCAUCAACGUCCGCGACCCCAAAAUGCGUGAGAAGCUGAGCACGCAUCGGAUCCGGACGACGCAGGACUUGUACGCCUUGGCACACAAGUGCGCCAUGGCUGAGGAGGGGCGCCUAGCGCCCGAGCUGGCAGCCCAGGCUGCCGCGAGCCCUGGCGAGGGCUCGCAGAAGAAGGGUUCCCGUAAGCGCAGUGGGAAGCAAGUCCUCGCUGCGGACUCGGGGGCUCCUGCCGCGAGGCCCACGAAGAAGGCCUCGCCGGGGGGAGAAUCUGGCGGGAAGCAGGGCGACGCGUCCCGCUGUCCUAUCCACAACAACUCCACCCACGACGCGUAGAGUUGCCGCGUCCUGCAAGGGAUCAAGCAGCGGCGGGAGCAGCGCCACAAGGAGCGCCGCACCGCCGGCGCCUGCUUCAAUUGUGGCGACAUCAGGAAUCUCUCCCGAGGCAAUUGGGUUCCGGGGUAAUACCCUUCGUCGUCUCGCCGAUCAUUAGCAAUAUGACGGUGACCAAGGUGCUGGUGGACAACGGAGCGGGGCUUAACCUCCUGUCCGCCAGUCUGGUGGAAAAGCUCCAGCUGCUGAUGGAGCAGCUGAAGCCCACCGAACCAUUCCGGGGGGUGAACCCCGGGAUCGUGCGCCCGCUGGGACGCAUCACGCUGCCGGUCACAUUCGGGUCCCGGGAAGCAUUCAGGACCGAGCACAUAGUGUUCGACGUGGCGCACACCCUGUUGCCCUACAACGGGAUCCUUGGUCGGCUGGCGCUGAUCAAGUUUAUGGCGGCUACGCAUGGCGCCUACGGCGUGAUGAAGAUGCCGUCCGUCUAUGGAGUCCUCUCCAUCGGGUGCGAUCUCAAAGACGCUGCUUGGUGCGUUGGCGAGGUCGUCCGGGCCGCUGCUGCAGCUGACGCCGGCGACGAAGGUGUUGUUGAGGACGACGCCCUGCCGGGUGACGCCCCGGCAACGAAGAAGGCCCGCGCCACCCCGCAAGGGCUAGCCGGAGGAGGCGCGGGCUCGAGCGCGCGUCCCGGCAAGGGGCGGGGGCUCCGGGAGGAGGCCGCCAAAGUGAAGAAGCUGCCCCUCCAAGCCGGCGACAAGGAGCGCACCGUUACCAUCAUUGCAAACCUGACCGCCGAAUAGGAAAGCGCCCUCGUCACCUUCCUCCGGGAAAACGCCGACGUGUUCGCCUGGGAACCGUCGGAUCUUCCCGGAGUCUCCAGGGAGGUGAUUGAGCAUCGGCUCGCGGUGCGCCCGGACGCGCACCCCGUCAAGCAGAAGAUCCGGCGGCAGGCACAAGAGCGAAAAGAUUUCAUCAAGCAAAAGGUGGGCAAGCUAAGGACUGCCGGGGCGAUCAGGGAAGUUUUGUACCCCGCUUGGCUGGCUAACCCUAUAGUAGUGCCCAAAGCGGGGAAUAAGCUUCGCAUGUGGUAGAUUUUACCGAUCUUAAUCGUGCAUGCCCCAAGGAUCCCUUCCCUGUACCCCGUAUCGACCAGAUAGUUGAUUCUACCGCUGGUUGUGACCUGUUGAGUUUGCUGGAUGCUUUCUCCGGCUACCAUCAAAUCAAGAUGGCGGUCGAGGAUGAGGAAAAGACAGCGUUUAUCACCCCGGUUGGCUGCUACUGCUGUACAUGCAUGCCUUUCGGGUUGAAGAACGCGGGCUCCACUUUCCAGCGCGCCCUACGACAAUGUUUGGGGCCCCAGCUAGGCCGCAAUGCGGAGGCCUACAUGGAUGACAUCGUCAUCAAAUCGAAGCGUAGGGACUCGCUGAUUGAUGACCUGCGGGAGACAUUUGACAACCUCCGCAAGAUCAAGCUCAGGCUGAACCUUGAUAAGUGCACCUUCGGUGUCAACUCCGGGCAGCUUCUGGGUUUCUUGGUUUCACACCGGGGGAUACAGGCCAACCCGACCAAAAUAGAAGCCAUCGAGAAGAUGGAGGCCCCCCGCAAGGUGAAAGAUGUCCAGCGCCUCAACGGCUGCGUUGCCGCGCUUGGACGCUUCAUCUCCAGGCUGGGUGAGUGUGCCCUGCCUUUCUUCCGGGUAAUGAAGAAGAAGGGUCCAGUCGACUGGACUGCCAAGGCCGAGGCGGCGCUCUAGGAACUCAAGCGAUACCUGAGGUCACCGCCCAUCCUCGUCGCCCCCAAGUUGGGCGAGCCGCUGCUACUCUACCUGGCGGCGACUGACCAGGUGGUCAGCUCGAUGCUGGUUGCCGAGAGGGAGGAAGACGUCCCGGGGAUUGGGGCUGCGGGGCAGGGGGCUGAGCAGCCUCCGGCAACCACCUCAAACCCAGGGACCACCCCAGAGCCGGCAACCCCGGCGCCUCGGAAGCGGUUGGUGCAGCGACCGGUGUACUUCGUCAGUACUAUGUUGCACGACGCGCGGACAAGAUACCCGCAAGUACAGAAGCUCCUUCUGGGGAUCCUCCUUGCGUCCCGCAAGUUGCGCCACUACUUCCAGGCGCACCGCGUCACGGUGGUGUCCGGGUUCUGCCUCGGGAGGACCCUCACCAACCGUGAAGCCACCGGGAGGGUGGCCGAAUGGAGGAUGGAGCUGUCGGAGUUUGACCUCCACUUCGCCAACUCCAAAAGCAUCAAGAGCACGGCCCUGGCGGACUUCGUCACGGAGUGGACGUCCACGGGCGUAGAAGAAAGUGAGUCGGAGACCGGCCUUCCCGGCAAGCUGGACGAGAGCCACUGGGUCCUCUACUUCGACGGUGCGUUCAGUCUCCAGGGAGCGGGGGCCGGGGUCGUCAUCGAGUCACCCAUAGGGGACCAGCUGCGGCUCGCCGUCCAACUCGACUUUGCUAACUCCACCAACAACACGGCGGAAUACGAAGGCCUGCUUGCCGGGCUGCGGGCAGUGGUCGCCCUCAACAUUAAGCGCCUGGUUGUUCGCGGUGAUUCCCAGCUUGUGAUCAACCAGGUGAACAAGGACUACGAUUGCCCUCAAAUGGCGCCGUACGUGGAAGAGGUUCGCAAGCUGGAACGGAAGUUCAAGGGUUUGCGCUUCGAACACGUCAAGCGGAAGGACAACUUCGCUGCUGACGAGCUGGCCAAGAUGGCAGCAGAGCGCCGGAAGCCUCCGGCGGGGGUGUUCUGUCAGAAGCAACUGGCUCCUUCGGUCACCCCCCAGACGGCUGCCGGGGACGCCCCUCCGGCAACCGAGGGAACCCCUGCAGCAGCAGGGGUCCAUGCCGCUGAUAUGGCGGCAUGCAUUGGCAGAGAAAUUCCUCCCUGGGCGGAAGAGAUCGCCCGCUAUUUGAAAGGGGAGGCUCUCCCGGAGGAUGACGUCGCCGCGGAGCGCGUAGCGCGGCGAGCCAAGAUGUACACUAUGAUAGACGGCAGCGUCUACCGCAGGCGUGCAAAUGGUGUCAAACUCCUCUGCGUGCCACAGGAAGAAGGGUGUGCACUGUUGGAGGACAUACAUCGAGGCACAUGUUCACACCAUGUGGCCUCCCGGGCUUUAGCCGGCAAGGCUUUUACUGGUCCACAGCCCUGGCCGACGCAGAGCGGCUGGUGAGGACGUGCGAAGCGUGCCAGUUCCACUCGAAGAAGAGCAACCAACCAGCCCAGGCCCUGCAUGCCAUCCCGUCCUCGUGGCCGUUCGCGAUCUGGGGACUAGACAUCGUCGGCAAGCUACCAAGGGCGGUUGGCGGUUACGAAUACUUGUUUGUGGCCAUCGACAAGUUCUCCAAAUGGGUGGAGGUGGAACCAGUGCGCAAGGUGACCGCCCAUGCGGCCAUCAAGUUCCUUAAGGGCAUUGUGUGCCGGUUUGGUGUUCCUAACAGCAUCAUCACCGAUAACGGCACGCAAUUCACGAGCGCGGCGUUUCAUGCCUACUGCGAAGACAUGGGCACUAAGCUGCGCUUCGCGUCCGUCGCUCACCCGAGGAGCAACGGACAGGCGGAGUGAGCCAACGCAGAGGUUCUGCGGGGGCUCAAGACGAGAACCUUUGACAAGCUCAAAGGCCACGAGAAGCACUGGAUCGAAGAACUCCAGCCCAUGCUGUGGUCCAUCCGGACCACACCUAGUCGGGCA
rnacentral:lncRNA from 1 species